AUUGAACGCUGGCGGCAUGCCUUACACAUGCAAGUCGAACGGCAGCACGGGUGCUUGCACCUGGUGGCGAGUGGCGAACGGGUGAGUAAUACAUCGGAACAUGUCCUGUAGUGGGGGAUAGCCCGGCGAAAGCCGGAUUAAUACCGCAUACGAUCCACGGAUGAAAGCGGGGGACCUUCGGGCCUCGCGCUAUCGGGUUGGCCGAUGGCUGAUUAGCUAGUUGGUGGGGUAAAGGCCUACCAAGGCGACGAUCAGUAGCUGGUCUGAGAGGACGACCAGCCACACUGGGACUGAGACACGGCCCAGACUCCUACGGGAGGCAGCAGUGGGGAAUUUAGGACAAUGGGCGAAAGCCUGAUCCAGCAAUGCCGCGUGUGUGAAGAAGGCCUUCGGGUUGUAAAGCACUUUUGUCCGGAAAGAAAUCCUUGACUCUAAUACAGUCGGGGGAUGACGGUACCGGAAGAAUAAGCACCGGCUAACUACGUG
rnacentral:rRNA from 1 species